GUGUGCUAAACAGAUGACGACAGCGCUGCAACGUCAAAGUCAUCAGUAAACAUUGCAAGAUGGCUUCAGGUGUUUGAAACGGCUUUGGCCGCUACGAUG